rnacentral:tRNA from 1 species
GGAUUGUGGCUCAAUAGGUAGAGCGCCCGCCUAGCACACAUGAGGCACUGAGUUCGAUCCUCAGCACCA